rnacentral:rRNA from 1 species
GAUGAACGCUGGCGGCGUGCCUAACACAUGCAAGUCGAACGAAGUUAUUUAGGAAAGUUCCUUCGGGAACCGGAAUCUUUAGCUUAGUGGCGGACGGGUGAGUAACGCGUGAGCAAUCUGCCUUUAAGAGGGGGAUAACAGUCGGAAACGACUGCUAAUACCGCAUAACGUAUGGAAUUCGCAUGAUUUCCAUACCAAAGGAGCAAUCCGCUUUUAGAUGAGCUCGCGUCUGAUUAGCUAGUUGGCGGGGUAACGGCCCACCAAGGCGACGAUCAGUAGCCGGACUGAGAGGUUGAACGGCCACAUUGGGACUGAGACACGGCCCAGACUCCUACGGGAGGCAGCAGUGGGGAAUAUUGCGCAAUGGGGGAAACCCUGACGCAGCAACGCCGCGUGAUUGAAGAAGGCCUUCGGGUUGUAAAGAUCUUUAAUUCGGGACGAAAAAAAUGACGGUACCGAAAGAAUAAGCUCCGGCUAACUACGUGCCAGCAGCCGCGGUAAUACGUAGGGAGCAAGCGUUAUC